rnacentral:rRNA from 1 species
AGCCUGAGACACGAUGACGAGUGAAAAAUAGUAACGAAGUCCUUGAUCCUCCGCUGCCAAGAAAAGCUGCUAAGGAAUAUAGAGGUGCCCGUACCGCAAACCGACACAGGUAGACAGGUAGAGAAUACUAAGGCGCGCGAGAUAACUCUUGUUAAGGAACUCUGCAAAAUGAACCCGUAACUUCGGGAGAAGGGUUGCUCUCUAGCGUGAGUAUGAGCAAUACAGAGCGCAGGAGAGUCGCAGUGAAAAGGUCCAGGCGACUGUUUAGCAAAAACACAGGUCAUUGCAAAAUCGCAAGAUGAAGUAUAAUGGCUGACGCCUGCCCGGUGCUGGAAGGUUAAGGGGAAGAGUGCAAGCUUUGAACCGAAGCCCCAGUAAACGGCGGCCGUAACGAUAACGGUCCUAAGGUAGCGAAAUUCCUUGUCGGGUAAGUUCCGACCCGCACGAAAGGCGAAACGAUCUGGACGCUGUCUCAACAAGGGACUCGGUGAAAUUGAAAUUCCGGUAAAGAUGCCGGAUACCUGCGAUAGGACAGAAAGACCCCAUGGAGCUUUACUGUAGCCUGAUAUUGGGUUUCGGAUAUUCAUGUACAGGAUAGGUGGGAGACUAAGAAGCAUGGACGCCAGUUUGUGCGGAGUCACUGGUGGGAUACCACCCUUAAAUGUUUGGAAUUCUAACAAGGAGUCUUGAAGCAGAUUAUUGGACAGUGUCAGGUGGGCAGUUUGACUGGGGCGGUCGCCUCCCAAAAGGUAACGGAGGCGCUCAAAGGUUCCCUCAGAACGGAUGGAAAUCGUUCGCAGAGUGCAAAGGCAGAAGGGAGCUUGACUGCGAGAGCCACAACUCGAGCAGAUAGGAAACUAGGACUUAGUGAUCCGGCGGUCGCGAGUGGAAGUGCCGUCGCUCAACGGAUAAAAGCUACCCUGGGGAUAACAGGCUUAUCUCCCCCAAGAGUUCACAUCGACGGGGAGGUUUGGCACCUCGAUGUCGGCUCAUCGCAUCCUGGGGCUGAAGUAGGUCCCAAGGGUUGGGCUGUUCGCCCAUUAAAGCGGUACGCGAGCUGGGUUCAGAACGUCGUGAGACAGUUCGGUCCCUAUCCAUCGCGGGCGUAGGAAAUUUGAAGGGAGCUGACCCUAGUACGAGAGGACCGGGUUGGACAGACCGCUGGUGAACCAGUUGUUCUGCCAAGAGCAUAGCUGGGUAGCUAAGUCUGGAAAAGAUAAACGCUGAAAGCAUCUAAGCGUGAAGCGAACCUUAAGAUGAGAUUUCCCACAACGAAAGUUGAUAAGACACCAGAGAGAAUAACUGGUAGAUAGGUCAGGAGUGUAAGUGUGGUGACACAUUGAGCGGACUGAUACUAAUAAGUCGAAGACUUAGCCAU